rnacentral:rRNA from 1 species
CUUUCUUUGCUGGCGACCGGCGCACGGGUGAGUAACACGUAUCCAACCUGCCCUUUACUCGGGGAUAGCCUUUCGAAAGAGAGAUUAAUACCCGAUAGUAUAAUGAUUCCGCAUGGUUUCAUUAUUAAAGGAUUCCGGUAAAGGAUGGGGAUGCGUUCCAUUAGGUUGUUGGUGAGGUAACGGCUCACCAAGCCUUCGAUGGAUAGGGGUUCUGAGAGGAAGGUCCCCCACAUUGGAACUGAGACACGGUCCAA